rnacentral:rRNA from 1 species
UUCCUACGGGACGCAGCAGUAGGGAAUCUUCCACAAUGGACGAAAGUCUGAUGGAGCAACGCCGCGUGAGUGAAGAAGGGUUUCGGCUCGUAAAGCUCUGUUGGUAGUGAAGAAAGAUAGAGGGAGUAACUGGCAUUUAUUUGACGGUAAUUACUUAGAAAGUCACGGCCAACUACGUGCCAGCAGCCGCGGUAAUACGUAGGUGGCAAGCGUUGUCCGGAUUUAUUGGGCGUAAAGCGAGUGCAGGCGGUUCAAUAAGUCUUGUGUGAAAGCCUUCGGCUCAACCCGGGAA